rnacentral:rRNA from 1 species
CCUACGGGAGGCAGCAGUAAGGAAUAUUGGUCAAUGGACGAAAGUCUGAACCAGCCAUGCCGCGUGAAGGAUUAAGGCCCUCUGGGUUGUAAACUUCUUUUAUCUGGGACGAAAAAAGGGUAUUCUUACUCACUUGACGGUACCAGAGGAAUAAGCACCGACUAACUCCGUGCCAGCAGCCGCGGUAAUACGGAGGGUGCAAGCGUUAUCCGGAUUUACUGGGUUUAAAGGGUGCGUAGGUGGGUUUGUAAGUCAGUGGUGAAAUCUCCGAGCUUAACUCGGAAACUGCCAUUGAUACUAUAGAUCUUGAAUUAUCUGGAGGUAAGCGGAAUAUGUCAUGUAGCGGUGAAAUGCUUAGAUAUGACAUAGAACACCAAUUGCGAAGGCAGCUUACUACGGAUAUAUUGACACUGAGGCACGAAAGCGUGGGGAUCAAACAGGAUUAGAUACCCUGGUAGUCCACGCCCUAAACGAUGGAUACUCGACAUCAGCGAUACACUGUUGGUGUCUGAGCGAAAGCAUUAAGUAUCCCACCUGGAAGUACGAUCGCAAGAUUGAAACUCAAAGGAAUUGACGG